rnacentral:lncRNA from 1 species
CAAAAUGAGGAGGAAAAGAUAGCUCCCUAACUAUGACCUUUUUGCCUCUUAAAUAACUCACUCUUCCUUGUAUAUUAAUCAAGACUCCUUUACUUUCUUAGGUCCUUCCUACUUAAAAAAAAAAAAAACCUUUCUUUCCAAUAAAGUAUGUUCCUCAAACCUUUGCAUCAUUCAGUUCUAUACCCCUUUAUACAACACUAAACAAAUUAUAGUCUGAAUCUUGUAUUAUAUGUUUAUAUCCUGCAAUUAAAGCUAAAAAGAGAUGGUAUGGGAUACCUUGAUUGUUCAUCACUCAAUGAUCUGACCUGAAGUUGGGAUCCAUUGCAUUUCUGAAUGCCACUUUAUACCCAUCUUAGUAGAGAUAAAUAUAGCCAGAAACUUACUUAAUACUAGCAAGUGUCUAUUUAAAUUACCUAUACUAGUCAAAUACAGUGCGAUGCACGUGGAAUACAGAGUAGGGAAGAAUUUUUAAUUAUGGAUGUUACUUACUUUUGAUAAUGGGUAAUUACUUUUUCUUCCUUUUUUUCCUCUUCUUUAUUGGUGUGUGUAGGAGCAGCUCAAAUUUCGCAAAGAAUUUUGAACUAAUAAAAAUAUAGCCAUGCUUUCUAUUGCAUCUACAUUGGGUGUAAUUAAUGUGCAAUCAACUUUUUGUUAUUAUGAAAUCAGAAAGUAACAGUUUCGAACAGAUCAUACUUACUUCUUGUCUCCAUCAUGGGGUUGUUCUGGUCAGGUGCUGGUCUUCUGAAGCUUCACAAUGAUAUACAAACCUGUGGAUAUGAAGAUAUUCAGGUGAUGUGGGAAAUGCUUAGGAGAACAGAAUCAGAGUUGAUUUCACGCCGCCCCAAGUUGAAACAAAGACCAUUUUGGAGGAUUUUUGUAUGGGACAACCAUGAUGCUGCCUCAUCCUUCUCCAUAAACCAAGCUUAACAAGUGUCUCUGGUUCAUACUACAAUAGUAGUUGUCUCCUUAAUCUCCUGCAACAAAACAUGGAUGGCAUCAGUAUUCACAAGCUUGCGGAUAACAGUUGAGAAUGAUAUGGAUCGGAGAAAUUGGAACUGUGUCCAUAUCUAAAUGAUAUUAAGUAUGUAUACCCGGUCCACCUUUAUUGCCAUUUCCCAUUAUAAAGAAUUCUGUCACAAUGGUGAAGUCAUUUGUAAAUAUACCAUGUUUUGCCAUUAUCCAAAAUCAAGUCAUACAGGGUGGAAAAUUUAGUGAACUCAAUAUUGUACUUUUGUCAAAACUUUGGGUGAUCUGUGACUGAUGUGUAGAUGAGAACAUCUGUUGUACAUGAGCAACCAAAAAGUAAUUUAGCACUUUAAAAUUUCAUCUGUUUAGCUAUCUAAUACCAUCUCACCAGCUACCUGUAUACUCAUGUAUAACUAUUCAACCUGUAAGUAAAACCACUUGUAGAGACUAAUUCUAUAGUCCCUAUUUAGCUAGAUGAUACUAUUUCAAGUAUUCAAACCGACAUACUGGAACAUUAACUGAAAGAGCUAUCUUUUCACAAAAAAUUAUUCAACAUUUAGCUCCAACUUGUGCCAUCAAGUAAAAUCAGUCCAAGCACACCACUUCACAUCAUCUCAUUUUACUGUCAAAGAGCCCAAAACACCAAGAGGAAUGAUCCUCAGGUGGCCAGUCCCAAUCCGUAGUGGUUGCAAUUGUCCAGUAUGUGUGGUAUUGGCAGACAUAGCUGGGGUUUACUCUGUAGGGACGAGUCCUACGUGGCACAUGGUUUGAUUGGUUCCUAUUUAGGGGGGUCUAGCCAAGGGGGAAAAAAAUUAUUACCUAGGCCAUACCCAGUAAACCACAUCAACAAAAAGGAAAUCUACAAGGCACUAUUUGGAACUUGAAAAAACACGGGAAAGAAAAAAACAAAAUGUAAGUAAAAAUUAAAACACACGAAAUAAUGUUAGAUCUAAGCAUACAGUGAAGGUUUUUUUCUCAGCCUCUUAGGCCUUAUUGGAUCUGGUGGUGAUCCCGAAUUAAUGAAGAUGAGGGAGAGACUUGAACCAAUUUUGGUAGAGUUAACUUUGCCAAUUUUGGUGGACCUGGAGUUGAUCCCAAGGUUUCUGUGUGCUCAGUGAAGGCAAAGGUUCAAGUCCCAAACUCCACCAAGAUUAUCAAUAAGCCAGUAAAAACCUCCUAAACGUUGUACACUGCUUAAGUUGAAAGGUAUUUUAAACCUAAUAUAAUAAAUAUAAUGAAGCCACGUCAAGGAUACAUGAUAUUUUCUGCCAUAAAUUAUAGACAAUAUAACCUUGAAAGGGUAUAUUCACUGUUACUAAUUGUAUACUACACACCAGCCCAUACAGAUACCAUGAAAGCUUAAAGCAAGCAUAGCAUAAAAUAUACCAAGUUACAAGUUUGUGGAGCUGCACACACAGUGAAACUCCACCAACUCCAUAUGCUAUUUUAUAUCAUAUACAAUGUAACCAUGUAAGGAUAUAUUUACUGUUACUAAUUGCCUACCAUUAUGAAACCUACCCCUAAAAAUACCAUAACAGUGUAAAAGAAACACAACCUUAAAAACAUUAAGCUACAGCUUUGAAAAUCAAUAAUGAGAAUGUAAUAAACUAUAGAAGUUCAACUUAAAAAUGGAAACCCACAAGAUACAAUAAUAACAGAACAUCAAAGAGAGCUAAUUUGAGUUAGGCGGAUACAUAGAGUCAUAGAACUUACAGAAUCUUCUCACAAUGUAGCAAGAAUGUCAAUCGCCAAAACUAGAUGCCAACCUGUACUAAAACAGGUAAAAAGAAGUUGUGAGCCAAAGAUUCACUAGAUCUAAAGAAGAAGAAAUUCAUCAUGUUGCCAGACAAGGAAGAUAAUAAACAGAUGAAGAAAGAUGUGUUUUCCCUUUAUAUAUAUAGGUAGUUUUGAGCCUAAGUAAAGAGGCAACCUUUAUAUCCCCUAAGAAAAGCUCUUUCGUCACACAACACAAGGAUAUUAUGAGCAGUCUUUUUCAAUUGGAUAAAGAAGUAAUGUUAUUAGUAACAAUAUUUGCAUUUGUUUUCAACUUUAAACAGGGAAAAAACGAUGNNNNNNNNNNNNNNNNNNNNNNNNNNNNNNNNNNNNNNNNNNNNNNNNNNNNNNNNNNNNNNNNNNNNNNNNNNNNNNNNNNNNNNNNNNNNNNNNNNNNAGAAUUGAAUAAAAAUGAAGUAAACACCAACUAACAAACCAUAAUGACAUUUCAGUAAAUAGUUCUUACCUCUCAACAGCUAAUCCACCUAUAUAAUCAGUAAUUACUGCUCAAUGGCUAGAAGACCUACUAGGAAUAAACCUUGAGGUCGCUAGUUCAAGUCCCCUUGAGGACAUGCCAUGAUUAAUUACUUGUGAAUCCCCUAGUACUAGUGGAAAAGUAUGCCUUUGACCAGACUCUGGUGAGCGAGGACAAAGCCACAUAAGAACAAAAACAAAUGAAAAACGGCUAGAAGACCUGUAUCAGCUCAGUGUACAUGCAUGAGACCAAAACUAGAAGAUAAAGUAAGAAUGAAGUACUACAACAAAUGUUUUCAUCUCUUCAAUAUGAUUAUGUAGCUUCUUCAAGUAAGGUGUGACAUGAAGGCAGGGGGAAGGGGAAGAAGCACGCAAUAUAGUACUGCAACAAGUAUCCUUAAACUUCUUGAUUUGGAACAAGCAUGUCUCAGCAUUCUAUAGGAAUGAGGUAAAUACAACAUUAGAAACAACAAACAAAAGGAUGAAUAAGCAUUCAGUCUUUUGAACCUACGUGAUAACAUUCAAUAAGAAAAAGUAAUCAGAUCUGUUUUUGGGAUGAUGGGAUUUAUUUAUUUAUUUUGGAGGGAGGGGGGAGGGGGGAUGAUAGGAGUAGGGGGAGGAAACACAGAGACACAUUCCGUCAGUUAUUUCUAAAAUCCCGUGGGUAGGAGUAUACGGAUAUCCUGACACCAGUAUACAAUUGAUUUUGCAAGAAUGGCAGACAAAGUUUAUCCAAUGACCGUAAAGAGUUUAAAACCUCAGAGAGGUUUACUGCUGCAUCAAUCGUGAUUAAUCAUUGAACCGUGUAGUUAAUGUUGAGAUUCCAAUCAAUGCUUACAGUUGAAAAUACAUGCACAAGAACUACUGCAUCAUGUAAUUUCAGCUUUUUACUAUAAUACUGAGCUACACAAAUUAUUCCUACAAAACUGUUCUAAAUUUCCUCAUUGACUCUAAAUUACAAAGAAACUGAGAAAAAUAUGCAGUGAAAAAUAUGCUAAUCUUACAACAGAACAACCUGUAUAGGCAUUCUUUUUUUUUCUUCUUUUCAAGUCCCUUUUGAUUGGUUGCUGUCAAAUAUGCUUUCUGACCAAGUAGAAACUCUUCUGCAGGAUAAUACAAAGGUUUCCUGAUCUCGUCUCCAUUAUUUUCUCAGGGAUACAUCUUUUGUCCAAGGGCAGUUGACUGGUUUAAAAGGUCAUGAAAGAGAACUCACUGCAUCAAGACUGCCCAAGGGAUGAAGAAACCAGCAUGGCUUUUGAUCCAUUACAGACCGAUCCAAACCCAACAGGAAAACAACAAAGUGUGGUCUUACAUUUCUUUGUCAAAUGCAUGUGUGCAUAUUUUUUCCAGCAGUAAGGGCCAGUCCUCGCCAAGCUGCUGCGGAUUUAGCUCCAUUGCAACUUUGAAAUCUAACAAAGAAAUUGGGAAGCGGGGUAUGUGUUCAUGCAUGCCGUUAACAAGCUUCAACAGAGCCUGAUGCUUGUGGGGUUUGUGGCUCGCUGGCCCACGCCCUGAUCUGGCUCCCUCAAUUUCAAGAGAAGACCUAACUAAACCCUUCAAGUAAGCAUUUAAACCAUUGUUCAACAUGUUGGCACAGUCCACUGACACUGCUUCAAGACCAUGUAUCGUAGCAAUCUGCUCCAUGUGUUCCCUCAGUGUCAUAGUAUCCAACAAACCACCACUAUUACACGAGCUAACAACUUUACUGCUACUUGCUAAAGGCAAUGCCGUGCGGGCUCCACCUACACUAGAAAUGCAAAAUGGAAUGCCAAGUGGAGGAUGGAGUAAUCUCCUAGCUGCUGCCUCUUUCCCAUCUGUUUUAUAGAGCAAUUCCGUCUGGUCUUUGCUAUGUACAGAAACCGUAUCAUCUGCUGACACUGUAGACAAUUUAGCUGGGUGGUCACCUAAAAGUUCCUCUUCAUUUUCUGUUUGCUGCUUGAGUCCUUGAUGAUGCUGCACUGCCCUUUGAAUAUCAGGUGGAGCCAACUCCCCAUUCUCUAAAAUAAUAUUAAAUUCACCGCACUGUGCGCUCGGUGAUUGUUGAGAAAUAAAGUGUGUCUUCCCAUUUGGACCAAGAGCACUACGACGGUCACCAACCCUCCGAUCGCGAGUUCCAGUUCUGGCCUUUUUGGGUGAUAGUGGCAGCAUGUCUCCAUUUGACAAAGCUACAUGAUUUGGAGGCGGGUUUGUAGUAGGAUGGGACCCAUUUUUAUGAUACAGAUCACUUGAAGGCUCUUUAUUUCCAACUGCUCUUGUAGCUUUAAGAACUUCCACUUCAUGAGCGGGUGGAGGAACUUUUGCUAUACAAGCAUUUUUUAGAAUCGAACAAAUAAACUGAUUGUGCAGUUGAAUAUUCUCUCUCCCAACAAUCCGUAGAAAAAUCUUAUUGAACUCAACCUUGUUUAGUUUCAAACUCAAAAAUCUAUUCAAAUAAUUAAAAUACUGCUUGGACCUCUCCGGUCCAAGUUUCCUUACCAUCUGAGCUUUCAAUUCAGCAAGAUUGAUCCUUGAGUGCUGAUGUGGUGGUUGCAUCUCUCAACACAUAAAAUCCAUACACAACAGAGAGGAUUAUCAAUUUUCCACUGUUGAAAAAAUUAAAAUUUUGAGACCCAACACAAGCACUAUAUUAGGGUUUGGUCCAUUUCGAAAAUCUCAUCUCCCAAACUAGAGUGAACCCCUCCAACAUCACUAAAGUUAACACUGUACUAAAGCCCAUCUUCAAAAACCAAACCCUAAUGGCACAAAGAUUACAAGGGUUUCGUUUCCAUAACCAAAGAUCCCAGUUCCCAACUAACUCUCCCUCCAAAACUCAAUUGCCAAAAUUUUAAACUUCCAAUCCACCAAACUCAACCUAUUAUCUAACCAAAACUAAAUUGCAAAAAAAAAACCCUUUAUCUUAAGGCAUACCAUCCAAAAACCAUAAAAAAGAUACCUCUCUGUCACUCCAAGUAAACUUCAAUUUAUUCAAAUUAAGAAGCUCACGCUAUCAAUAUGACUCUCUAGUAUACCUCAAACAAACUCAAAUGUAACAAACAGAUGAAGUACUGGAGUUUCUUGCUUCAGAGUUUAAAAUUUUCAAACAAAUUUGGAAUGAGACAGCAGACAUUGAAGAGAUUUAAGCUUCUGCGAGACAAAAUUCGAGUUUAUACAGAGAGGAAAUUGGAACUCUGACCUUAUUGUUAGCUUCACAAUACUGAAUCAAAAUUCAGAUUCAGAAUUAGCAUUCACAAAGGCUUCUUCGUUGGAACCCACGUAUACACAUCUUCCCGUUGUGUUAUAUCCACUUUCUCUUUCUUCAAAUUGCUUGGCAUUUCGAUUCUGUUUGAUACUAUCGCUCUCAAAUAUCUCUCUGUAUAAAUUGAAUCAGAGAUGGAAAAGACCCCAGUGAUCGAUCCUUCGAUACUCUCUCUCCUCUUUCUCUCUCCUGCGGGCUCUUUUUUUUCGUUUGUGUCCGUAUAGAGAGAGAGAGGAAGAAAGAGAGAAAGUAAAUUGUUU